ensembl:lncRNA
CGGAGGCCUGCACAUCCAGCAGAGCGGCCAAAAAGGGGUACACUACACCGCUACUCCAAGGCGGGCGGCUGGCUGGCUGGCUGGCGCGCUCCGCACCCACCCGCACCCGCGGGCGGCGGUCGCCUAGGCUCGGCGGCGGAACUGCGCCUGCGCGGUGAGCGCGGACGCCCUCGCCUUCGCACGCCGGGUGACGUGCCGGCGCUUCUCUGGCUUCGGGCAGAGUGGAGGUGGACUUUCUCCUCAACCCUGUGGACAGCAGAAAGCGGCCGAGCGCAAGACGGACAGUGGGAAGAAGUAUAUCACUACUUCCUCGUCUACGACUAGAAGACGUUGCCCAGGAGGAAAGCAGAUGGCCUGUGUCCAGCUUCCACCAGAAUUACAGUCAUCCUGCAAAAGAUGGCAGCACAAACUUGACCCACCUUUCUGUUGUCCACCAAAACUUCUUGCAGCUUUCUUCUAACAAGGGGCAAUGCCUCCAGACAUCCAAGUCGAAGACUGCUCAACAAGCAUGAGAGAGAAAACUGAAGCUCAGAGAAGAUAAAUCAUUUCCCCAAACGUACUCAGCUGAUAGGAUUCGAAGUGUGGUUACUCUAAAAGCCCAGAUUUGUUUGUUUGUUUUACUGUGAUAUAAUGUCUCUCCUAUUUCACCUUUUAUCACCAUGAACUGCCUCUUCCUUGGCUUGUCAGCUCUCUUAAGCUCCUCCUCUCCAGUGCUCCCUAACUUCUGGCAUACCCUUAAGAUUAAAUUCUGUAUUAUAUCC